AGGAAGUAAUUUUUUUCUACUCCACCAAUGAAACACACAUAGCGGGAUCUUCUUUAGUACAGUUUGGAUUACAUUUUAAGCGUCAUCUGUUGUAAGCAAUGGAGCAAAGCCCUAUGACCUUCGUCCGACCAACAAUGAUCCUCUCUGCUUUUGUUGUAAUGUUCUCGGCAGCACAACCCAUCUACCAUACUCAGAGCGAGUGUUACAGUAAGGAUUUAGAAAAUGUUUACCAGGUUCUCAGAGAAUUCAGGAGCGACAUUGAUGAACUGAAACAGUCAAUCAAACAGUUGCAGAACAGAGAACAAGGAUUGGUGGUUGUAGAAAUGAGACCGAUGAUCCUCUAUGCAAUAUUUGACGACACUAUAGAGUUAAUGUGUUCAAUACAUCACAGAGGAUACGAAUGGUCCGCCGUCAACAUCAACGUCAACAUCUUCCAGCAAAAUACAUUUGGUUAUUUUUUUUUCUUUUUUAAUGUAUCCAGAGGUGGAAAAGUGGAGUCAAAGAACGCUAGAAUCAAUGGAUCCAAGACUGCAAGUGAUAAUAUCAUGAACGUGACUGUCUCCUUUGAUGUAAGCCGUGGUUCGGGGUUUGUGAACUGAAUCAAACCUAUUCUCGUAACAUUCAACUUGUGGACACGUCCAUCAGCUCUAAGGCUGCAAACAUUAAGUUAGUCUUGGAGACGCCACCCCUAAACUUGACUGUUAAUACAAUGCCUAAUGGAUAUGCAUUUCAUGGCAACAUUGGUGAGACCAUCAACUGUACUGCAACCAUGAACCCUAACACCACUGUAUUGUCAUUGAUUGGAAAACAUUUUCAGUCACUGAAUGAAUAUUUCUUUGCAGAGAGAAAAAAUGUACAAACAUUUGUGGAUUUAGAAAACAACAUCGGUUGCUAUCUGACUGUGCAAACUGUUUUUAGCAAACUUGGUGAUUUUCUUGCAGAUUAUAAUUGGGUAGGUUGCCUAGCAAAUGAUACGGUAUCUGGUCAAAGUUCGACAACAGAAUUUAAAUUCGUUAAUGCGAUAUUUAUUUCUAGAUGAGAAAUGUGACUCCUAAUUCUAUGUUUAGCCUCACCUCGUAUUGUUUUGACAGAGAGGCUUAUUGAGAUUUGAUACUUUUGAAAACAGUUAGUUACUAAAAGUAUGAACCUUACUUUUAGUAAAAAAAAUUGUGGUAUCUGUUAAUUUACUAAUAAAAAGAUUGUUGAAGUAAUUUGUAAACAAUUAUGCUUAGGUUAGAACAGUAUACAAUUAUUAAAAAAUAUAUCAAUCUGAUCUGUGCAGCAUCUAAUGAUAUGCAAAUUGCAGAUUCACUCAUAAGAAAAAAAAACUUUUUUUGUAAUUUAUUUUAUUUGCAUUGCCGAAUUAAAGUUGCAUUAUUAGUAUUUUGAAUGUAUAUGUAAGAUUGAAAGAUUAUUUCUUUUACUAGAAUAAAUUUUAACCGUUUCUUAUGAGACUUAUAAAUAUGUCCUUGUGUUAACUUACAGCUAUUGCAUUUGUUGGUCAUUUACUCUUUGGUGUAUCAUUUUGUCGGCCAAUGUCUUUUUACUUAUAUUAAUAAAUAAAUCAGAAAAACGAAUACAAUUUUCGUCUUCACUGCUCCAUUACAUUAUCUAGCAAACAAUAGCUGUAAGAUAAUUGACUUAAAGCAAUUUUCAGUUGAUAAAAAAUAAAUUAUGUUUUAUAUAUGAUUAUUUUGCUAAUUAAUAUUGUUAUGUUAAUUUAAGAGAAAGAUUACGGUUUCUUAGAUAGCGUGCGAAUAUAUAAAAAAUAUUUUGACGAUUUUUUUUAAA